GUUGUCAGCCAGCGACAGAAGGAUAAGAAGCUGUGUUCCAACACAAUCUUUUUCCUUCUGAUUUGACAAUGACAUGGAUAGGUCAAAGGAAGCCUCCUCUACGCUGCCCGGGGACAGGUCCUCCACACCACACACAAUAAUGAUAUACAUUCUCUGUUCCACAGGAAGAGGGCAGUAGUGAGACAGGCCAGCACCCAGCCCACAGGAACAGAAUACAGCAGCAUCAACACAGCUAACAGGCCACCAUAGAACCUGAG